UCAGCGAUGGAUAUCUUGGCUCGGGCACCUGUGAAGGGCGCAGCGAAGCGCGAUAGUCUUUGUGAAUUGCAGAACUCCGUGAACCAAUCGCCUCCUGAACGUGCGUUGCACUCUUAAGAUUUCCUGAGAGUAUG
rnacentral:rRNA from 1 species